AUGCCGACGUGGUUGCCGCUCAUGUCGUUGAACUCGGAGUUGAGGAUGGUGUCGAACUCGACGGCGAAGAGGUGGUUGGUGGCGUUGCCGUUGUUGGCGGAGCCGACGAGGCCGAGGAACUGGCCCGGCAGCGCGGAGGUGAAGUUGCGGCUCUUGGCGACGACGAAGGCCAUGCCGUGGCUGCUGAGCGUGUCGUAG
rnacentral:rRNA from 1 species